UACGUAGGGGGCGAGCGUUAUCCGGAUUCAUUGGGCGUAAAGCGCACGUAGGCGGCCGCCUAAGCGGAACCUCUAACCCCGGGGCUCAACCUCGGGCCGGGUUCCGGACUGGGCGGCUCGAGUGCGGUAGAGGAGAGCGGAAUUCCCGGUGUAGCGGUGGAAUGCGCAGAUAUCGGGAAGAACACCGAUGGCGAAGGCAGCUCUCUGGGCCGUCACUGACGCUGAGGCGCGAAAGCUGGGGGAGCGAACAGG
rnacentral:rRNA from 1 species